rnacentral:rRNA from 1 species
UACAGAGGGUGCAAGCGUUGUCCGGAAUUAUUGGGCGUAAAGCGCGUGUAGGCGCCAGAUAAGUCCGCUGUGAAAACUCGAGGCUCAACCUCGAGACGUCGGCGGAAACCAUCUGGCUAGAGUCCGGAAGAGGAGAGUGGAAUUCCUGGUGUAGCGGUGAAAUGCGCAGAUAUCAGGAAGAACACCCCGUGGCGAAGGCGGCUCUCUGGGGACGGUACUGACGCUGAGACGCGAAAGCGUGGGGAGCGAACAGG